rnacentral:rRNA from 1 species
GAUGAACGCUAGCGACAGGCUUAACACAUGCAAGUCGAGGGGCAGCACGGGAGUAGCAAUACAACUGGUGGCGACCGGCGCACGGGUGAGUAACGCGUAUGCAACCUACCUAUCAGAGGGGAAUAACCCGGCGAAAGUCGGACUAAUACCGCAUAAAACAGGGGCACCGCAUGGUGAUAUUUGCUAAAGAAAUUCGCUGAUAGAUGGGCAUGCGUUCCAUGAGGUAGUUGGUGAGGUAACGGCUCACCAAGCCGACGAUGGAUAGGGGAACUGAGAGGUUGGUCCCCCACACUGGUACUGAGACACGGACCAGACUCCUACGGGAGGCAGCAGUGAGGAAUAUUGGUCAAUGGGCGAGAGCCUGAACCAGCCAAGUCGCGUGAAGGAAGAAGGAUCUAUGGUUCGUAAACUUCUUUUGCAGGGGAAUAAAGUGCAGGACGUGUCCUGUUUUGUAUGUACCCUGAGAAUAAGGAUCGGCUAACUCCGUGCCAGCCGCCGCCGUAA